GGCUGGAGAAGGAAAAGCCAUGUCUAAGCAGAACAGCUCUGUACAAGGAGGUCCCUCCUUAAGCACAGUUUGCCUAAACAGCUCUGAACCGGGAUGGUGUCCUAAAAGGACGUUUCUGGAGUUUGGGGUGAGAACUUGCCACUGUGCCUGCUAGUGGGGGCCAUGAGCUUGUUACAUGAAGAGGAGAAUCAUUUGGGAUCCUGCAGCAGUGAUUCUGUUCCUUGAAAGGGCUUGUGGAUUCUCUCAGCUUUUCUGCUUGCCUUGCCAUUGUCAACAAAUGGUAGUGAUUACACUCACAAGGUUCCACUCUGGUUGAAAACAAAAUAAGCCUCUGAACGAAUAAGCAUGUUCUCCCCCAGGU